UUAAAGACGAAGAUGGGGACUAGUAGAAGGUUAAACCCUGGUAGAGAGCAGAAUCCCGCGGCUGAAAGGAUCUGCAGGAAGCACCUUGCGAACCCACCCCGGAGUUUUGGACUGAAGCGAGUAAGUCUUAACGGUAUUGGCCCGUUACAGCCGAGUAAAGAGGAUCUUCUAAAGAAGAUUAAUUAGAGUGGUACCGCGGAAAAUAAACCUUUCGUCUCUACA
rnacentral:ncRNA from 1 species